rnacentral:rRNA from 1 species
GGUUGCGAUCGCUCCCUGCGCUGGACUGACAUCCCAUCAGAACUCCGAAGUUAAGCGUGCUUGGGCGAGAGUAGUACUAGAAUGGGUGACCCCCUGGGAAGUCCUCGUGCUGCACCCC